rnacentral:rRNA from 1 species
CAAACGGGUGCGUAACACAUUGGUAACCUACCUCGAAGUUUGGCAUAACCCGGAGAAAUUCGGAAUAAUUCCAAAUGUGCUCCACAUUUAUAAAUUUGUAGAGUAAAGAUUUAUCACUUCGAGAGGGGCCUAUGGCUUAUCAGCUUGUUGGUGAGAUAACAGCUCACCAAGGCUAUGACGAGUAGCGGGCGUAAGAGCGCGACCCGCCUCACUGGGACUGAGACACUGCCCAG